GGCAUGGUAGCAUAGUGGUUAGUGCUGUUACCUUGCAGUAAGGAGGUUCUGGGUUUGAGUCCCAGUCAACCA